GAAGGAGACCUACUAAGUUAAUACCUGAAAGCGAAUUGCGAAUAGGGUUUAGCUGUAGUCACCUAAGGUCGUUGAGGGUUUUGUUAGUUCUGCUGGUUAAGUCCAGGCCUCUUCCAAAUUAUUCAGGUGUUAUGACCUGGUGUAGAAUACCAAGUCGAUACACCAAGACAAACGGGCUAUUAGCUCAGGUGGUUAGAGCGCACCCCUGAUAAGGGUGAGGUCCCUGGUUCGAGUCCAGGAUGGCCCACUUUCAGACAGUGUGAAGUCAGGAGUUAUGAAGGAUGAAAAGGGUUACGGCUCACUUCAUCGUUGAUUGUUCCCACUUCCUCGUUUAGUUAGGGGGGUAUAGCUCAGCUGGUAGAGCGCCUGCUUUGCAAGCAGGAUGUCAGCGGUUCGAGUCCGCUUACCUCCACCACAUUUUACGAAGAAAGCAAGCUACGAUAAAAAUCAGCAACUAGGGAUGUAAACAUCUACGGAAGUAGAGUAUUGAACAUCAUAGAUUGCUGGUCUUUCGAGACUAGCGAGAACCUUGACAACUGCAUAGAAAACUAUAAGAAAGCAAAGGUAGUUCAAAGUCUGUUGCAGACAUUUGAGAAACAAAGAAGCCCAAUGAGCUGAGUAGGUUAGGCGAAUCAAUAGCGAGAGCUAAGGGUUUGAAUAAUUUAUUCGGUUGCAUAAGCAAUCGACCUUCUCCUAUCCAAAGAAGCA
rnacentral:tRNA from 1 species